CCUACGGGCGACAGCAGUGAGGAAUAUUGGUCAAUGGCCGUAAGGCUGAACCAGCCAAGUCGCGUGAAGGAAGAAGGAUCUAUGGUUUGUAAACUUCUUUUAUGGGGGAAUAAAGGUAUCCACGUGUGGAUAUUUGCAUGUACCCUAUGAAUAAGGAUCGGCUAAUUCCGUGCCAGCAGCCGCGGUAAUACGGAGGAUGCGAGCGUUAUCCGGAUUUAUUGGGUUUAAAGGGUGCGUAGGUUGUUUUUUAAGUGAGCGGUGAAAGUUUGUGGCUCAACCAUAAAAUUGCCGUUGAAACUGGCGACCUGGAGUGUGUGGGAGGCAGGUGGAAUUCGAGGUGUAGGAGUGAAAUGCGUAGAUAUCUCGAGGAACCUCGGUUGCGAAGGCGGCUAUCUGGCGCAUUACUGACGCUGAAGAGCGAAAGCGUGGGUAGCGAACAGGAUUAGAUACCCUUGUAGUC
rnacentral:rRNA from 1 species